UACAGAGGGUGCUAGCGUUGUUCGGAAUCAUUGGGCGUAAAGGGCGUGUAGGCGGUUUGUUAAGUCAUGUGUGAAAUCCCUCGGCUCAACCGGGGAAGGACGCAUGAAACUGGCAAGCUAGAGUACCAAAGAGGGGGGUGGAAUUCCCGGUGUAGCGGUGAAAUGCGCAGAUAUCGGGAGGAACACCGGUGGCGAAGGCGGUUC
rnacentral:rRNA from 1 species